GUGGAAAAGGCGAGGAAGAAAAUGACGUAAUCUAGUGGUAACGUUGUCUUGACAACCGACCCAGUGAAGGUUAAUCAAGAAGACACAAUGCCAGAGGUGAAAUCGGUGUUCAGAGAAGUUCUGCCGAAGCAAGGCCAACUAUCUAUGGAAGAUGUCCCUACCAUGGUUCUUUGUAAACCCAAACUCCUCCCACUCAAGUCGGUCACACUUGAGAAGCUGGAGAAGAUGCAGAUGGAGGCUCAAGAGGCUGUCAAACAACAAGAACUUGCAAUGAAGGAGCAGUCGCAAUAGAGACCUGCAGCAGAUUCUCUCCAUCAGAGCUAUGAAUGAAAGACGGAUCCAACUUAUUGGAUACACAAACCAGCCAGCAAUGAAAUACAUUUAGAUUGCUUUAUUGACCAGUGGGUGCAUUGGAGGGAUGAUAUCAAAUGAAAUAUUCAUUAUUUACACCUAUGUCUUGUGUUUUUUGAUAACCUGAGUUUAUCUUCAGCUGUCAAUUGUUAUGUAGAUAAUAAUUUUAAAAAAUCUUAUUCUUUAUAGUAGUUUUAAUGAACAAUGGAAGAAACACUUGGUAAAUCAAUUGUACCAGAAUGUGAUUGAUAUAAAAAUAAACACUCUAAGACCA